AACGAACGCUGGCGGCAUGCCUAACACAUGCAAGUCGAACGAGACCUUCGGGUCUAGUGGCGCACGGGUGCGUAACGCGUGGGAACCUGCCCUUAGGUUCGGAAUAACUCCCCGAAAGGGGUGCUAAUACCGGUUAAUGUCUUCGGACCAAAGAUUUAUCGCCUUUGGAUGGGCCCGCGUUGGAUUCGCUAGUUGGUAGGGUAAAAGCCUACCAAGGCGACGAUCCAUAGCUGGUCUGAGAGGAGGAUCAGCCACACUGGGACUGAGACAAGGCCCAGACGCCUGCGGGAGGCAGCAGUGGGGAAUAUAGGACAGGGGGCGAAAGCCUGAUCCAGCAAUGCCGCGGGAGUGAUGAAGGGCUUAGGGUUGUAAAGCUCUUUUACCCGGGAUGAUAAUGACAGUACCGGGAGAAUAAGCUCCGGCUAACUCCGU
rnacentral:rRNA from 1 species